UGCCGCGUGAGUGAAGAAGGCCUUCGGGUUGUAAAGCUCUUUUGUCAGGGAAGAAACGGCCUGUUCUAAUACAGUGGGCUAAUGACGGUACCUGAAGAAUAAGCACCGGCUAACUACGUGCCAGCAGCCGCGGUAAUACGUAGGGUGCAAGCGUUAAUCGGAAUUACUGGGCGUAAAGCGUGCGCAGGCGGUUUUGUAAGUUUGUCGUGAAAUCCCCGGGCUCAACCUGGGAAUGGCGAUGAAGACUGCAAGGCUAGAGUUUGGCAGAGGGGGGUAGAAUUCCACGUGUAGCAGUGAAAUGCGUAGAUAUGUGGAGGAACACCGAUGGCGAAGGCAGCCCCCUGGGUCAAAACUGACGCUCAUGCACGAAAGCGUGGGGAGCAAACAGGAUUAGAUACCCUGGUAGUCCACGCCCUAAACGAUGUCUACUAGUUGUCGGGUCUUAAUUGACUUGGUAACGCAGCUAACGCGUGAAGUAGACCGCCUGGGGAGUACGGUCGCAAGAUUAAAACUCAAAGGAAUUGACGGGGACCCGCACAAGCGGUGGAUGAUGUGGAUUAAUUCGAUGCAACGCGAAAAACCUUACCUACCCUUGACAUGGCUGGAAUCCCCGAGAGAUUGG
rnacentral:rRNA from 1 species